GGGGCAAUAGCUCAGUGGUAGAGCCCCCGAUUCGUGUCGGCAAGACCUGGGUUCGAUUCCCGGCUGCUUGG
rnacentral:tRNA from 1 species